CAGAUUGACCCUGGAGACUGAAGCCUUUUGGUGAUAUGCAGAGGAGGUACAGCAGAGACAGUGGCAGUGCAAGUUUCCCUCGUUACCUGUCAGUAUCCCUCAACCCUGCCCUGGAAGGACCAUCCCUGGCAGGAAGAAGAGUUCAGCCAUCAUACCCAUUUGAUCCUUGGCCUCU
rnacentral:sRNA from 1 species